UAUCCUUCACUCGGACCGUGCAGCUUGAAAAUAAACUGUUAGUGUUUGUCCUCAACCGUGUGGUCGGGUCGUACAAAGUGCUUUCAACAGGAUUGCACUGCCUAAAUCUCUCAGGUUACCUUGUCGAGUCGUGAACUAAAAGGGACUGAAAAAGACCAGGAUGUCGUCGUCUUGUCGGAGUUAGCUUAGUAGCUCCUGACCCGUGUUUUUAGCCACAGUCUACUGGAACCAUUAUCAGUCAGCCAGUCGAAAGAAUCAUUCGACUGAGACGGUGUUGGUGCAGAUGGUGAAGGACUUACUACCUGCUUGCGACAUGCAUCAUGUCUCCUUACUGUCAAUGCUCGGUCUGUCGGCUGUGUUUGAUGCACUCAACCAUGACAUCCUCUCCACUGCCUUCGUGUUGCUUCCCGGACGCUAGGUGUGCACCAUCACACAACAUACAGUAGACUUUGUUCAACUCUGUCUGCUUAUUAAUGAACUCAGUACCCCAGAAAUGUGUAUCAUCCUCUACUGCCUUUACUUUCUUUGGGUUAACAUCCUUCUUUCUCUAUCUGUCGCCCAGACCGUUUGAAAUCGUGAUGUUACCAACGAAGCGUCAUUAUCUCUUGUCUAGCUUCCUUUAAUUUUGCAGGAUCGGUUAAUUUGAUCCUUCCUGCCACAAAAAAGCUUUUGUCUGUACUUUAACUUUUUUGACUGUACUUUAAGUUCAAAGCAGCACGGGUGUAGAGUGAGGGGAGCUCCACCUUCUACUUGACAACGCCCACCCACCUACAAACUGAAGGGAGGGACCGUUGCAGUCAGACUAGCGCAGGGCCGGUGUUUGUUUACACGUUGUAAGCCCAGCGCGGGCACCUGUACUGAGGACUGCCACCGGGGGGCAGCCACGUAGCUGUCGUGGUAUAGACUUGGGAGGAGCAAUUCGCAGAGUAAGACUUUAUCUUUGUAGAGGUAGAGGCAAGGAGAUGAGGGGACGGUCUGGUGACUACCAAAUUAUGUACGCUACGCUCCAGUCUGAAGUAUUGUAAACAUUCCUCCUUCAACUGGGUGUGUAUGUGUUGUGGAGAAUGCUUCAUGAAUUUCAAACAUUACGAGCCUCAUGUACUUCGGUUGUUGUGCAUUGCUACCAGAAGCGACUGCUUAUUUGAAAAGUGACUUUAUUCAUAUUUGUGCCUUAUCAAAAAUUGCAUUGUAAAUAGCUUUGGAUACCUGCCUUUUAUUUCUUUUGAGAACUGUAUGUCUAUUGUUUUAUUUGCAUCAUGAAAAAUAAUUAUUGUGUUACUCUGGGGUAGGGACGCCCCAAGCUAAAGCGAUCUAGUGUUUUCUUUUGGGGGAAAGAGUGCGCAUGUCCAUGUUGUGUGGCACAAAACUUUAAAGCGAAAUGACUGUCUAUAUAUAUAUAUGAGUGUGCUAGCAUGAAUAAACCAUAGGGCAAGGCACUGUAUUGUACCUACAUUGUUUGUUCAACGUAUUCAAGUGGCAGAAUAACAAGUUGAAAUAUGAGACUGGGCUUUGAGAGCAAACGUGCAAAGAAAGAAAAGAAAAAAGAAGCUUGCAUUGAAUGAACCCGGCAAUGAACUUUCAACAUGCGGUAUUCCUAGAAAAGCUGUGCUAAAAAGCAAACAAAAAUUGCUAUUUUUAGGGGCACAAGCCCUUUUUGUGGUUGUUGCUUGAAGUAUACUUAAACCCUGGUGUGCACAGAAUGCUACAUGCUCAAAGUCUUGAUGUGAAGCGAUGAUCACUGGUCUGGACACACUGCAGGUCUGUGUUAAGAGAACAUUCACUUUUCUGUCUACACUACACACCUACAGCAAGAGGUAAUAAAGCUUAUUAAAAGAAUGCUCAGAAAAGCCGAGAAAAAGCUCUAAUGGCCAACAUUUUAGAUUUUCAGAGCGACUAAGUGCCGGAGUUGAUACUCGUAGGACAGGACACAACAAAGUUCACGUAACUCACAUCAAUACAUGUAAAUGACUGCAAACCCAAAUCACACAUUAAUGUCAGAGGCGACUCUCAACCUCUCCGUCGUUCGAUCUAUAUGAACAAAAGUUAACUCAGUAGUUCCAAAAUUCUCACUUACGGUCGGUGAAAUACAGGAAUGUUCACACUUGCAGACACAUCUACACUUCCUUGAUAAACUCUAAGCUGGGGCUGACGAGGCCAACACCCCAGGCUGACGACGGUAACGUGUCCGUACCCAAGGGCUGACACACCUGGCUGACGAUGAUAUACUUUCAGACUCCCAAACAGCAGGUGCUGACUAGGCAGACACACCUGGCUGACGAUGAUACACGUCAAUAACCCGAAACAGCAGGUGCUGACUUGGCAGAUACACCUGGCUACCUACGAUACUCUUCUAUUCGUCUAUCCUUCCCUUCGUAAUUCCUGAAAUCAAUGACUAAGGAAGGAAUUAUUCCAGUUCCCCGAUCUCGUUCACACGGAAAUUCGCUAAAGUAUCUCUCUGCUUCGACGACUGGCGUGGGAAUCAUCAAACUUGGCUUUUCCCUCCAACUACAGGGGUUCGGUGAAUACUUUCGCUCACCUUUGUUUUCUAAAAAAUCCUCACAGACUGAUUCCCAGCAAACACGCAAGCUUGGGCCAAUGAUUUUAGCAUAGCCCAAGCUUGGUCCAAGGAUGGCCGAAUCUUGCGUGUUUGCUGGGUUAAGAAAAUAAUCCCACUUUACAGUUCUGUUUAAUGCUUGCCUCAUAAAGAAUAAAAUUUUAAAUAAUGUCUAUUUAAUUCUAACAAAGGUAUUCAAGGCCACACAUAUAUGCAAUGCUAAAUACUUAGAUGUAAACUAAACAAAGAUAUUCAAGGCCACAGAUAUAUGCAAUGCUAAAUACUUAGAUGUAAACUGAACAUUUUUUCAGUCAGAAUGUGACAUUACACACAGGGCAAAGACUUUAAAAAUUCAACACUCAAAGAACACAGAUUACUGGGCUUGGAAGAAGUAAAUGAUUCAGAAUGUGUCAGGGCAAUACUUCUGAAAAGGGAUCACAAACUGUGCUGCAUGUUUCAUUACAGGCUCACAACAACAUAUGUAGUUUUUGAAAAAAAAUAAAGAACUGAUUUCUU